UACGAAGGUCCCAAGCGUUAUCCGGAUUUAUUGGGUUUAAAGGGUGCGUAGGCGGACUGUUAAGUCAGUGGUGAAAGCUCCAUGCCUAACAUGGAAAUUGCCAUUGAUACUGACGGUCUUGAGUACAUUUGAAGUGGGCGGAAUGUGUCAUGUAGCGGUGAAAUGCUUAGAUAUGACACAGAACACCGGUUGCGUAGGCAGCUCACUAAACUGUAACUGACGCUGAGGCACGAAAGCGUGGGGAGCAAACAGG
rnacentral:rRNA from 1 species